UACAGAGGGUGCAAGCGUUAAUCGGAAUUACUGGGCGUAAAGGGUGCGUAGGUGGAUAGACAAGUUGGGUGUGAAAUUCCUGGGCUUAACCUGGGGGACUUGCACUCAAGACUGUUUGUCUAGAGUACAGUAGGAGGGAAGUGGAAUUUCCGGUGUAGCGGUGAAAUGCGUAGAUAUCGGAAGGAACAUCAGUGGCGAAGGCGACUUUCUGGACUGAUACUGACACUGGAGGCACGAAAGCGUGGGGAGCAAACAGG
rnacentral:rRNA from 1 species